rnacentral:rRNA from 1 species
UGGGGAAUUUUGGACAAUGGGCGAAAGCCUGAUCCAGCAAUGCCGCGUGUGUGAAGAAGGCCUUCGGGUUGUAAAGCACUUUUGUCCGGAAAGAAAUCCUUGGCUCUAAUACAGUCGGGGGAUGACGGUACCGGAAGAAUAAGCACCGGCUAACUACGUGCCAGCAGCCGCGGUAAUACGUAGGGUGCAAGCGUUAAUCGGAAUUACUGGGCGUAAAGCGUGCGCAGGCGGUUUGCUAAGACCGAUGUGAAAUCCCCGGGCUCAACCUGGGAACUGCAUUGGUGACUGGCAGGCUAGAGUAUGGCAGAGGGGGGUAGAAUUCCACGUGUAGCAGUGAAAUGCGUAGAGAUGUGGAGGAAUACCGAUGGCGAAGGCAGCCCCCUGGGCCAAUACUGACGCUCAUGCACGAAAGCGCGGGGGAGCAAACAGGAUUAGAUACCCUGGUAGUCCACGCCCUAAACGAUGUCAACUAGUUGUUGGGGAUUCAUUUCCUUAGUAACGUAGCUAACGCGUGAAGUUGACCGCCUGGGGAGUACGGUCGCAAGAUUAAAACUUAAUGAAUUGACGGGGUCAUAGCUGUUUCCU